ACAUGCAGUCGAGCGAAUGGAUUGAGAGCUUGCUCUNANGAAGUUAGCGGCGGACGGGUGAGUAACACGUGGGUAACCUGCCCAUAAGACUGGGAUAACUCCGGGAAACCGGGGCUAAUACCGGAUAACAUUUUGAACUGCAUGGUUCGAAAUUGAAAGGCGGCUUCGGCUGUCACUUAUGGAUGGACCCGCGUCGCAUUAGCUAGUUGGUGAGGUAACGGCUCACCAAGGCAACGAUGCGUAGCCGACCUGAGAGGGUGAUCGGCCACACUGGGACUGAGACACGGCCCAGACUCCUACGGGAGGCAGCAGUAGGGAAUCUUCCGCAAUGGACGAAAGUCUGACGGAGCAACGCCGCGUGAGUGAUGAAGGCUUUCGGGUCGUAAAACUCUGUUGUUAGGGAAGAACAAGUGCUAGUUGAAUAAGCUGGCACCUUGACGGUACCUAACCAGAAAGCCACGGCUAACUACGUGCCAGCAGCCGCGGUAAUACGUAGGUGGCAAGCGUUAUCCGGAAUUAUUGGGCGUAAAGCGCGCGCAGGUGGUUUCUUAAGUCUGAUGUGAAAGCCCACGGCUCAACCGUGGAGGGUCAUUGGAAACUGGGAGACUUGAGUGCAGAAGAGGAAAGUGGAAUUCCAUGUGUAGCGGUGAAAUGCGUAGAGAUAUGGAGGAACACCAGUGGCGAA
rnacentral:rRNA from 1 species